GAGGCAGCACUGAUGAAGGCUGUAUGACUGCCCAGGGCUCUUCCUACGGUGAGAUAGAAAGGCACCAUCUCUCUAGCUGCCAGGAUACCAGACUGCAGGUUUCCUUACUCAGAGCUUUCUGGUGACAGAGAUGUCCAGCGAUAACAGUCCCCUGGCAAAGUGAUAYCCAUUACUCUUGUAUGACUGGCUUGCUAAAGCUAUGUUUCAUUGGAAUAACAAACACUAAACUAGAAAAUAGAGUGAAUUCAGGUCUGCUGGAGGAGACCGAUUAGAAGAAAUGGUCUGAAGACAAAUCUCCUGGCCUACUGUGUCCUUCCAGGUAAGGGUGUCUUUUGCUUGCGCCUCCUGUGUAGCAGCUCUCAGCAGAUUCAUGUCUUGCAGCA
rnacentral:lncRNA from 1 species